UGUCAUAAAUAUCGUCAGGUUAUAUAUAUUUUCAAAUCCUAAGUAAUGUCAUUUUUUAUACCUAAGAGUUGAUCAUUCCAAAGCUUGCGCGAUUACAGAAUAUUUGACUGCAAACCUAAUCUCCGACAUGCGUUUUACCAAUGAACUGCUGGAGUCAUGACGACCCGUCGACUCCUCGUUGGAGAGAAGCGACUGCUGUGAGCUGCCGGAUGGGCUGCGGGGCGGCUGCAAUGUGAACGAACGUUGCGAUGUGGCAUCAGUAGACCGGUUGCAAUUGUUGGGUAUUUUCACCACACAUCGUUUGUGAUAGUUUUGACCACAGCCUGUGACGGGUUUAUGGGAAUAAAGUAUACGCCACAA